rnacentral:rRNA from 1 species
GGAAUAUUGGUCAAUGGACGCAAGUCUGAACCAGCCAUGCCGCGUGCAGGAUGACGGUCCUAUGGAUUGUAAACUGCUUUUGCACAGGAAGAAACCACUCUACGUGUAGAGUCUUGACGGUACUGUGAGAAUAAGGAUCGGCUAACUCCGUGCCAGCAGCCGCGGUAAUACGGAGGAUCCAAGCGUUAUCCGGAAUCAUUGGGUUUAAAGGGUCCGUAGGCGGUUUAGUAAGUCAGUGGUGAAAGCCCAUCGCUCAACGGUGGAACGGCCAUUGAUACUGCUAAACUUGAAUUAUUAGGAAGUAACUAGAAUAUGUAGUGUAGCGGUGAAAUGCUUAGAGAUUACAUGGAAUACCAAUUGCGAAGGCAGGUUACUACUAAUGGAUUGACGCUGAUGGACGAGAGCGUGGGUAGCGAACAGGAUUAGAUACCCGUG